CCGAGCCGCACUGAUGGUGCAGUAAUCAAACAAUGCUCCGGGCAGUCGGAUGUGCGCAUCUCGGCUGAGGAAGAUUCGUCGAGUGAGACGCAGUCACUUUUGACGCUUCGUUAUGAACGCGCUCGCGAAGUGCGCGUGGUCCGCUUAACGCGCGCGCGCGCGCGGGUGUGUGUUUGUGCGUCUCGAUUCGCGUCGCAAUCUCGUCCCCGCGUUCGACAGAAGCAUACGGUAGAAGCGAGCACAACAGGAUAUGGCCGUGGAACCUCGCGUGACCGGGAACGCUAAGCCCCUGGUGCCGCUGUUCACGAAGGCGUCCGAUUGCGUGAACACGAGCUGUUACUGCGAAGAAAACAUAUGGAAGCUUUGCCAAGAUGUAGCGACUAGGCAUCCUUCCGAAUUGCAACAUUGUCAUGUUCUUUUCGUAAGCAAUUCACGACGAAGCGUUCCCCUUUGGCGUCAACGGGCCGGAAAGGACGAGGACAAAUUGGUCGUGUGGGACUAUCAUGCUAUUCUCAUCUAUGCUCCCGAUGAAAGGGCAGUGGUAUACGAUUUAGAAAGUUCCCUGCCGUUCCCUACACAUUUCUGGAAAUAUGCCACCGAAACCUUCAGAUCUGAUGAAGCAUUGCGGCCUGAAUAUCACAGAAGAUUCCGUCUGGUACCUGCCAGCGUAUAUUUGCAACAGUUCGCAUCAAGUCGGCAUCAUAUGAAGCGCAAGGAUGGCACAUGGAUCAAGACACCGCCAGAUUAUCCUCCGAUCUCGACACCAACAUGCAAGGAUAAUCUCGAUUCAUUUAUCAACAUGGAACCAGGAACCGGAUUAGGCGUUGUAAUGAGUUUGAAACAAUUAGUCAACCGGUUUUAUAGGCCAAAUGUUAACACACAGGCGCCGACGCCGCCUCAACCGCAAGCCACAGCGACUUAAAUUGUGAGCUAUAGUGUGUUGUUCGCGUACGCUUUGAUUAACGAUAUUGGGAAUAAAUUAUAUGGCCUAAGGGAAUUGGUUUUGGUGCAUGCACCUUUGUGGGCUAAAAUAUUUGAUCGAAAUUUGAUAAUAAUGUUAGUUAAUUGCUGCUAAUUCUGGCAGAAUUUCAAAUAUAAAAUCGUUACAAUUGUAUCUUUAUUAGAGCGAAAUUCGCUCAGAGAGAUGGAACCGAGAGAAUUUUAGUGAAAUUAUAUUUUAUUGUCGUGUUGCAAUAUUUUUGUUAAAUUUUAUCACAUUGUAUACACAUUUUAGAGUUUAGAUAAAUUUAUCGAAUUUUAUUAAUUAUUUUCUUUCUACUAUUCCGGCACAAAUAUUGCGCAUAAACUUUUGAAUAGCAUGAGACCAGUAAAUAUAUAAAAAAGAAUAUCGAUGCAACUAUUAAUUAUUUAUCAUAAAAAAAUCCCGGUUCCAGAUAUAUAAGUAGAUUUUUAAAAAAUCUCAUAUUUUACUCAUAAUCAAAACCUACGUAUAUCGAUAACAGAAAUACACACUUUUUCCAAUACAAUACGGGAUUGACGUCUUAUUCUUCAAUCGAGUGAUUUGGCUUAUCACGAAUAAAAAGCAAUUCUGCUGAGCAAUUCUACUUUCUUGAUAAGCUUAUGUACCAUAUUAAUGGACUUCAUUAAAACAAUCCAUUUUCUCUCUUCUAUUAAAGUCUCUUUCGCAGAAUUUACCGGAGAGAUAUCCUCCUCCGGCAAUGCAGCACAUUACAUUCGACCACGUUCUAAAUACAAGUCGUAUUUUAUAGAGUUAUCCGACUUGAUAGAGAUCCCUUUGUCUAUCGGCGCGUGUUCGAAGCGCGGGAUGCGAUUAAAGCGCUUAUAAUUACUGUGCGAUCGAUGUAAUAAGGUCAAGAACUUAAUCUUUGCGACGUAAUGUAAUUAUUACGAUUAUUGUAAUUCUUGUGAUACUUUACACUUUCUACUUUGAAUACCUACGCUAUACUUAUCUACUGUUUGUACUAAAAGUCGAUUCUUAAGAGAUAUAUUUGCUUGUUGAGCUUCCCUAUAUUGGCGUAUUGACUUAAAUGAAUAUGCGAUAUCGUCACGCGACCAAUUACUAACAUCGAAGAACCUGUUGAUUCAACGAACGUAUGUUGCUUUAGUGAUGAUAGAAAUAAAUUUUACAACGAAAACAUUUUAAAUUCUUCACUUGUACUGGAAGUAAAAUUAGCAUUCUCUUAAAAUGUAAUAUUAUUUAUCUCUAUUACUAGUAUAAGAUAUAAUAUCAUUUUUCGAUUCUAUAUAUCGAGAUAUAAAAUAUUUUUUUCAAUUUAUUGAUUAUUUGAUAUACUAUCUUUAUAUUAUAUAUUAUUAUAAACAUUUGGAUUAUUAUAAACAUUUAUUCUUGUGGAUUAACGGUUAACUCUCAUUUAUAAUGAAUGAAAUUCACCCUACGAAUUCGAGCAUAGUAUGAAGUACACACAUUUAAAUGUGCUCGCAAUUAUAGAGUGACCUUCAUAUACCAGAAUAGCCAAACGGCUUGGAUUGCAACGGAGUGCAAUAUAAGUGCUUGUUAUCUAUGGUCAUGGUGGUAACCUUGGAACGCAAAGGGUUAAAUCGCGUGUUAUGCACAUUUUAUCAGAUACGGCAGCCUUGAAAGUUCAGCCUUUAUGCGUCGUAAACUUAUUUCCCUCAUGUUUAUGUUAUUUAAUAAUAAUGAUAAUAUGUGUGUGUGUAGUACGCAACUCAUUCUUUACGCGAUACCGCUUUCGAUUUCAACUUAUUAGCUUUAACUAUUUUAUUCGAAUGUAAUAAGGAAGUUUAUCAACAAGCAAUUAGUAUCAAACUAUCGAUUCGUCGCGUUGAUGCCAUAAUUAUUUUCAUGAAUAUGCCAAUUAUUCGUGAAAGAAUUCACCGAUCGGGCCGAUAGUUUUAAGAAUUCGCCCACUUUUUGCCUUCCAAAAUAUCUCACUAGUUCACUCUGUCUUUCUCAUCGACACAUGUUUAUCUCUAGUUUGCAUGUAUCAUGUUACUACCAAUGUAAGUAUUUAUAAGC
rnacentral:misc_RNA from 1 species